GGUCGUGUGGCCCAAUGGCAAGGCGCUUGACUACGAAUCAAGAGAUUCCAGGUUCGAGUAAGAUUCUCCGGUGUUAUCU
rnacentral:tRNA from 1 species